rnacentral:misc_RNA from 1 species
AACGCACAUUGCGCCCCUUGGUAUUCCGGGGGGCAUGCCUGUUCGAGCGUCAUUAUAACCCCUCAAGCUUAGCUUGGUGUUGGGGCCUGCCGACUGGCAGCCCUUAAAAUCAGUGGCGGCGCCAUCUGGCUCUAAGCGUAGUAAUUUCUCUCGCUAUAGGGUCCCGGUGGAUGCUGGCCAGCAACCCCUAAUUUUCUAUGGUUGACCUCGGAUCAGGUAGGGAUACCCGCUGAACUUAA